rnacentral:misc_RNA from 1 species
GAACGCACCUUGCGCUCCUUGGUAUUCCGAGGAGCAUGCCUGUUUGAGUGUCAUGAAAUUCUCAACUACCUUUUUAGCAUUUAUGUUAAGGGUGAAGUUGGAGUUGGAGGAUAAUUGCUGGCGCAGCUAAGGUUGCUUGUUAGCUCCUCUUGAAUGAAUGAGCUUUUCUGAUGGAUUAUAGCUUAGUAACACUAAUGUGAUAAUUAUCUACGUUAGAUGUGAAAGCUGUGAGUAGAGUAACUUCAAAUAUGGAGAUGCUCCUAUAGAAAAGGCAUGUCUUGGGGGAUAACAAACCCUUGACUUUGAAAUUACAAUGACAAAUCUGACCUCAAAUCAGGUAGGACUACCCGCUGAACUUAAG